UAAGUCCCAGGUGCUCUGUCUAAAUACGACCAGAGUCAGAUCAGAGCUGGGACACUUCAUUCACUUGAAAAGGAAGGGGAGGAUCUCCAAAUACUGACACAUAGAAAGAACAGAGAUACAACUUCCCGGGAAAGUUAUUAUUUGCCUGUGGAGGAAAAUGGGUUAAUUAAUCCAAUUCAAGAUUUUCUCCUCAAGAUAUUUUUUAUUUCCAGAGUACACUGAAAAAACCUUUGUUUUGAAAGAACUGAGAGAGGGAAACUGAGGCCUAAACAAGGCCAACAAGAAGUGUGGAAGGAAGUUGCUGUGUUAAAUGUAGACAGUUUGCAUUUCAACAGGCAAGUGAGAAAGUGUUUACUGCACAACCCCUGGGGCAAGGCAGAAGCUGCACUCUGUAACCAUAACCCAUCCUUGUGUUACACCUAUGGGGCAAGAAGAGAGAAGGCAGCAGGAAAAUACAUGAUUAUGAAGAAAAAGAAAAGAGAAAGAGAUUAGUAGCAAUUAUGAGUGUUCAGAAACGAAACAAGAGAGGAUUCAUGACACAAAACUUAUGGGCAGAGUCUUGUGAUAAGUGAUAAGUGUUUUCAGAUUCUAAAUGGGGUUAGGCAAAAUUCUCUGAAAUUGUCUUUCUCACAGGGGAGAUGCUGUCUGUUGCUCUAACUGGAAAGCUCUUCAAGACUUGAAGGAGGAUGUACAGCCUCUAGGGCGGGUUUCAACCUCCCUAAGUUUACUUAUAUUUAGUUAUAAACACCUAAUCCCCACUCACUCCCAGGGAGCCACUUAGCCUGUCUAUUUUCCAGGACAAUCCCACUAUAUUAUUAAACUGGAAAAGAGCUUCCCUUUGCAGCUCUCUGUGGAGCCUCCAUGUCCCUGACAUUACCGGCAUGGUGGCUCAACUUGAGCUGAAGGACUGAAGCAUGCUUUCUUCCCUUGUUCA
rnacentral:lncRNA from 1 species